AUGGCCGCCACAAACCCGGGCAUUGUUCAUGUGGUCAAGCCUCAUGGGAAAAAAAUAACGGUUCAUGACGGAACGAAAGUCCGAGUAUUUGGCCGUGCAUUAUGGGCGUUCGAGCAAUGCGUGAGGUCUUUCGAACACUGUAGGCUGGUCAUCGUUGUUGAUGACACGUUCUUGACCGGACAAUACAAGGGUACCUUGUUGGUUGCGAUGGCAAGUGAUGCCAAUAACUGGGUGUUGCUAUUGGCAUUUGCUUUGGUUGAGGUGGAGAACAAUGACAACUGGGAGUGGUUUUUGCGUCUUUUGAGGACGAAGGUGUUACCCGCUCAGAGGGAAAUUUAUGUCAUAUCGGAUCGGCAUCAAGGAAUUCUUUACGCGGUGGAGAUUGACAUUCCCGGGCAUGCUCCGUUGCACCAUAGAUGGUGCAUGAGGCACUUUUGUUCGAACUUCUAUAGGGCAUGUGGCCUUAAGGAGUUGGCCGAUGAUCUUCAAGAUUGUUGUCUCUGA
rnacentral:rRNA from 1 species